CCUACGGGUGGCUGCAGUGAGGAAUAUUGGUCAAUGGACGAGAGUCUGAACCAGCCAAGUAGCGUGAAGGAUGACUGCCCUAUGGGUUGUAAACUUCUUUUAUAAAGGAAUAAAACGAGGCACGUGUGCCGUUUUGCAUGUACUUUAUGAAUAAGGAUCGGCUAACUCCGUGCCAGCAGCCGCGGUAAUACGGAGGAUCCGAGCUUUAUCCGGAUUUAUUGGGUUUAAAGGGAGCGUAGAUGGGUUGUUAAGUCAGUUGCGAAAGUUUGCGGCUCAACCGUAAAAUUGCAAUUGAUACUGGCAGUCUUGAGUACAGUUGAGGUAGGCGGAAUUCGUGGUGUAGCGGUGAAAUGCUUAGAUAUCACGAAGAACCCCGAUUGCGAAGGCAGCUUACUAAACUGUGACUGACAUUGAUGCUCGAAAGUGUGGGUAUCAAACAGGAUUAGAUACCCUUGUAGUC
rnacentral:rRNA from 1 species